AGAUCCCUGUGGGUCAGAGAACAUUGGAAGGGCCAGACCGGGGAAGAAGAUCCUCGGCCAUCUCGGAGGCGAGAGGUGUUUGCUCACGAGAACAGGACGUGGGAUAUGCUCAUGCUGUGGAUCCUGGGUGGACACCGGGCGCAAAAGAGGGAUCGGAGAGGAUCCUUGGAAGACUGGAGUCCAGCAUCCAGGAGUUUGGAGGAGUGAGGCUUCUGCUCCUGAAGGGGAGAAGAAUGUAAUACAGCAGCCGAAAAGAGCGAGAGCGUCAGACCAGAAUUUCCAGAUUCGACAUGAUCGAAGGGGUCGGGGCGAGCCGAUGCCGCCGCGAACAUGAGGCGGUCUUUCUUCUUCAGGAGAAUAAUUGAUUUUUAGAAGCCGUCUGCUUAUUCAUAGACCUUUCAAUUACCUGGGAGAGAACAGAAGAUGAGGGAAAUUGUGUUAAAACAUUACAAAUGCGCAUAUGUGCUUGAA